GGCUUCGUAGCUCAACUGGUAGACCGCGUGCAGUGUUGAGGCAUGACGUCUGUGUUGCCGGUUCGAAUCCAGCCGAAGCCC